UUGUUCAGGGUGCUGAGAGUUGUUAAGAGACUCCCAUUCCCCUCCCAGAACUACAAUUCCCAGAGUUUCCUGGGAAGAGAGAAACCACUCUAGGAUUUAAUUGUAGCUCAGUGGGGGACGGACGGACGGACAGGGGUCUCCUAACAACUCUCAGCACUCUUAACAA